UACAGAGGUCUCGAGCGUUGUUCGGAUUCAUUGGGCGUAAAGGGCGCGUAGGCGGCGGGGUAAGUCUGGUGUGAAAUCUAGGAGCUCAACUCCUAAACUGCACUGGAUACUGCUCUGCUAGAGGACUGGAGAGGAGACUGGAAUUCAUGGUGUAGCAGUGAAAUGCGUAGAGAUCAUGAGGAAGACCAGUGGCGAAGGCGGGUCUCUGGACAGUUCCUGACACUGAGACACGAAAGCCAGGGGAGCGAACGGG
rnacentral:rRNA from 1 species